rnacentral:rRNA from 1 species
CAGCCGCCGCGGGAAUACGAAGGGUGCAAGCGUUAAUCGGAAUUACUGGGCGUAAAGCGUGCGUAGGCGGUGAGUUAAGUCUGCUGUGAAAUCCCCGGGCUCAACCUGGGAAUGGCAGUGGAUACUGGCUCGCUAGAGUGUGUCAGAGGAUGGUGGAAUUCCCGGUGUAGCGGUGAAAUGCGUAGAGAUCGGGAGGAACAUCAGUGGCGAAGGCGGCCAUCUGGGACAACACUGACGCUGAGGCACGAAAGCGUGGGGAGCAAACAGGAUUAGAUACCCGAGUAGUCCCUGUCUCUUAUAC